CGGCCUUCGGGUUGUAAACCUCUUUCAGUAGGGAAGAAGCGAAAGUGACGGUACCUGCAGAAGAAGCGCCGGCUAACUACGUGCCAGCAGCCGCGGUAAUACGUAGGGCGCAAGCGUUAUCCGGAAUUAUUGGGCGUAAAGAGCUCGUAGGCGGUUUGUCGCGUCUGCCGUGAAAGUCCGGGGCUCAACUCCGGAUCUGCGGUGGGUACGGGCAGACUAGAGUGAUGUAGGGGAGACUGGAAUUCCUGGUGUAGCGGUGAAAUGCGCAGAUAUCAGGAGGAACACCGAUGGCGAAGGCAGGUCUCUGGGCAUUAACUGACGCUGAGGAGCGAAAGCAUGGGGAGCGAACAGGAUUAGAUACCCUGGUAGUCCAUGCCGUAAACGUUGGGCACUAGGUGUGGGGGACAUUCCACGUUUUCCGCGCCGUAGCUAACGCAUUAAGUGCCCCGCCUGGGGAGUACGGCCGCAAGGCUAAAACUCAAAGGAAUUGACGGGGGCCCGCACAAGCGGCGGAGCAUGCGGAUUAAUUCGAUGCAACGCGAAGAACCUUACCAAGGCUUGACAUGAACCGGACCGGGCUGGAAACAGUCUUUCCCCUUUGGGGCUGGUUUACAGGUGGUGCAUGGUUGUCGUCAGCUCGUGUCGUGAGAUGUUGGGUUAAGUCCCGCAACGAGCGCAACCCUCGUUCUAUGUUGCCAGCACGU
rnacentral:rRNA from 1 species